rnacentral:rRNA from 1 species
AUUGAACGCUGGCGGCAGGCCUAACACAUGCAAGUCGAGCGGUAGAGAGGUGCUUGCACCUCUUGAGAGCGGCGGACGGGUGAGUAAUGCCUAGGAAUCUGCCUGGUAGUGGGGGAUAACGCUCGGAAACGGACGCUAAUACCGCAUACGUCCUACGGGAGAAAGCAGGGGACCUUCGGGCCUUGCGCUAUCAGCUGAGCCUAGGUCGGAUUAGCUAGUUGGUGAGGUAAUGGCUCACCAAGGCGACGAUCCGUAACUGGUCUGAGAGGAUGAUCAGUCACACUGGAACUGAGACACGGUCCAGACUCCUACGGGAGGCAGCAGUGGGGAAUAUUGGACAAUGGGCGAAAGCCUGAUCCAGCCAUGCCGCGUGUGUGAAGAAGGUCUUCGGAUUGUAAAGCACUUUAAGUUGGGAGGAAGGGUCGUUACCUAAUACGUGACGAUUUUGACGUUACCGACAGAAUAAGCACCGGCUAACUCUGUGCCAGCCGCCGCAGUAAGAC